rnacentral:rRNA from 1 species
UUAGCGACUUCUCGGAGGGCUGUAUUUAUUAGAUAACAGACCAAUAUUCCUCGUGUCUAUUGUGGUGAAUCAUAGUAACUAAUCGGAUCGCAUGGGACUAUCCCGCGACAAACCAUUCAAGUUUCUGCCCCAUCAGCUUUCGAUGGUAGUGUAUUGGACUACCAUGGCUUUCACGGGUAACGGAGGAUUAGGGUUCGAUUCCGGAGAGGGAGCCUGAGAAACGGCUACCACAUCUAAGGAAGGCAGCAGGCGCGUAAAUUACCCAAUGCUAACUCAGCGAGGUAGUG